rnacentral:rRNA from 1 species
GGGAAUAUUGCACAAUGGGGGAAACCCUGAUGCAGCGACGCCGCGUGAGCGAUGAAGUAUCUCGGUAUGUAAAGCUCUAUCAGCAGGGAAGAAAGUGACAGUACCUGACUAAGAAGCCCCGGCUAACUACGUGCCAGCAGCCGCGGUAAUACGUAGGGGGCAAGCGUUAUCCGGAUUCACUGGGCGUAAAGGGAGCGCAGGCGGCACGGCAAGUCUGGUGUGAAAACCCGGGGCUCAACCCCGGGAAUGCAUUGGAAACUGCCGGGCUGGAGUGUCGGAGGGGUAAGCGGAAUUCCUAGUGUAGCGGUGAAAUGCGUAGAUAUUAGGAGGAACACCAGUGGCGAAGGCGGCUUACUGGACGAUGACUGACGCUGAGGCUCGAAAGCGUGGGGAGCAAA